rnacentral:lncRNA from 1 species
UCAGCGCGUAGCAUGUUUGGUUUCGGAGAUUUCAAUUAAGGUGAAUUGCUUAUACAUGCAGCCGAAGCCAAGCAUGCGAUACACACUUACAGUAACAUUUGCCCUGCUUCUUGCCAUUCGCGCGUUUGAGACGAAAGCCUACUAUUUUGAUCUCCAGGAAGAAUCGCGUUUUCAUCCGCAAGACCACAUGAAUGCCAACAUGGGUACUGCCGCUAUCAGACGUGGCAGGAAUAUAUAGGUACAUCUUGUGGUACAUCGUAUCUGCAGUGCCUCAGGUCCUGCCGAAAACUGUGCAACUGAGGGCAUUCCAAAUAAAUCAAAAUGGCGAAAUAGACUCAAAAUACAGUGACGAGUGGCAAUAAUAUCGCUCAAAAGCGUUCCUGGAUUGAUGCGCACUACUGAUGACUUGCGGUGGACACGCGCAUGCCACGUGCCGUCGUAUGCGGAUAUGCAGCACACGUAAAAAAAGUGUGCCAUGCUACGCCAAACAUGCAUUAAUAUACGCAAUAAAACAUGCGAUGCCAUG